AGAUCCCGCCCCUUCCCCCAAACUGGAUACAUCGGCAUUGGCAGUAGCGGGGGAGGAAGUGGGUAGGGGGUAGGGACUGGAGGGACCGAGGACAGACGAGUGGAAAAGGUGCAAGGGGCUUCAGAACAGAUUAGACACAUCUCCUCCUUCUCAGGUACCCCCACCCCACCCCAGCACACCCCUUCCCCAAGCUCUCUGGCUUUAAGUCAGAAAACCGCACAGAGGUUGCGUGCAGGGAGGGAAGGGUGAGGGAUUGUUUCCCCUUUUCUGAAAGCAGCGCUUCGGAGUGUGGGUAGCUCCCGAUUGGAAGCUUAUAUGCUCUGAUGAGUGUGGGAAGAGGCGACCUUUUCCCCGGCUCCGCCGAGCUCCCGGAGAAGGCUAUGGCGGAGCUCAAAUCUCUGUCUGGUGACACCUACCUGGCCCUAACCCAGAGCUACACAACCUCUGCUUUCCCUUAUGGCUCUGUCCGCGGUGCUGAAACGCACAGAGGCUACAACGCAGCUUCAGCGGGAGACUUUCACGGAGCUCCUCUGGCCAAGGGAGGGGCAGCCGAGAGCAGCGGGGAGCAGAGCGGUGAUGAAGAGGACACUUUCGAGCCUAGGAAGAGGAGCUCUGGCUUCGACAACGACUCCAAACUCAAGGCGGGGACUCUGGCCAAGAAGCCCAAAGAACAGCGCUCCUUGCGCCUGAGUAUCAACGCCCGAGAGCGGAGACGCAUGCAUGACCUGAACGACGCCCUGGAUGGACUCAGGUCGGUUAUCCCCUACGCACACAGCCCAUCAGUGAGGAAACUGUCGAAAAUUGCCACCCUUCUCCUAGCGAAGAACUACAUCCUGAUGCAGGCCCAGGCUCUUGAAGAGAUGAGGCGGCUGGUAGCCUAUUUGAACCAGGGUCAGAGCCUCACUGGCCCUAUUCCGGCCGCAUUGACUCCCUUUGGCCAGGCCGCAGUAUAUCCCUUCUCCGGCACAGCACUGGCCGCCUGUCCUGAGAAAUGUGCUGCCUUCUCGGGGACUCCCUCUGCUCUUUGUAAGCACUGUAACGAGAAGCCGUGAUUGGGUGUGUAUCUAACCCUGUCCCCACAUCUCCCACCACCACCUUCCCUCCAGUCCUUUGCCCUCUUCUUACCUUGUCCACUGCCUUUCAGCCUCCUCGCAACAUCGUUUCAGUUAGAAUUGCUAAAACGCCUGUUCUGAUCCUCACCCUCACCCUUUCACCUUCCUCGACUUCUAAAAAUUGUUUAAGUGAAAAGCAACAGAAGGAAAGGAUAAAGGGAUAAGCUGAUCUCGGUGUAGUUUGAGUGUUAAACUGUUUUACGAAAUCACUUUCCCCUCCUGCCCGGGCUAAACAAGUCAGAGAAAUUUCUAACCCUUCGGCACCCGACCCCCAGCCUUUUAGCCCCAUCUUAAAGCCGCUCCCUCUUUGACACGGAAAAAUAUUCCUUGCAACAAGUCCCCUGGAUCGGGGACUGACCGUAAGGAGAGCACGUGGAUUUCUGAGCGGCCGAAGCCUAACCUAGUACACUAUGCAACGCAGCCCCCACCAAUCGCCCCAGGUCCAAGGGAGUGAGACCCAGAUCCUAGGCCGGGCUUCCUGUCCCAUGUGUGUUCUAUUUCCAGGGACCUUUAAAGUUCCCAAACCCCCAGACGCUAAAGUUCAGUGCUGCUAGCCGGGUUGUUUGAGCUCCCGCAAACCUCACCAAGCCUCAUCCUGUAGAACCUUGACUGUUAAUACGUGGGUUUGUUUUUGUUUUUUGUUUUGGAACCGAGAGGUGACAUUCUGCUUCGUACCUCUUCCCAGUGCUUGGCCUCCUCAAACCAAAGCCUUCUGGCACCCUGGAAAAGCGUCUUCUUCCCAAACCAUUGUUUGCAUGAGGAAUAAAUGCUGAGAGCGAGAAACUAUUCCGGGGAAAAGAUUUUCAAUAAAUUAUCAGAUUUAAGUCAUAUAAAAGUCUGGUCUGCACCGCUGUACUAUAGGCCAGGUGAGACUGACGGUGUGCUUGCCUCCUGAACAGCUGAGAUUAAAGACUAGUCUAAGUGGUCUAAAACCACGAAAGGUUUCACUCUUCCAGUUCAUGGGAUUUUCUCGUCCCUAAUCCGAAGCUAGCCCUAACGCAGGACAAGUCUGUGCGUGCUUUUGUCAGGUUCUCAAAAACUCAGUAAACAUUACAGACUGGUAGUUGGAGUUUCCGAAAUCCCAGGGUCAGCACGUUAGUCAAACUAAACCUCGACCUUGUCCCCAGGGACGGAGAAUAACUGUUCUAGCCCAGGGCAAACCGUGAAGUCUCCACGCCUGCAGCAUCCCCACAAUUUGACAGCAAUUUCCAAAAGAAGUGUUGUAAUUUCUAGGCUGAGAAAUGAAAUAUCAAGUGAAAACCAGCCUCCUCAUAAAAGGCAAAUAUUAUUUUCCUAAAGGGAGAGUGAAAAUAUGAAGACCAUCACUGUCAUCUAAGAGUCCAGGUUUGCUUCAUCAUCUCUGUUGUGAACAAGUUCUUUUUGCCCAGAAUCAGAACAUAGUUCCUAAGCCCUAAGUAUUACAGAGGACAAUGAUUGCAGUGCUUUUUCUAAUGUGAAUUUGUUUGUGACAUGUUUCCAGUCUUUAAUCUCUUUUGGCAUCCCAUUUACAAAGAUGAAAACAGGGAUUUAUGAUGUACUGAAUUGUUUCUGUAACAAUUACCUCUUUGGAUUCACGGAUCUGCAGCCCUGGCCAGUCUAAUGCCUCCAACAAAAGUAUAUUUAUUAAAAUUAUAAACUUAACAUGCUUUCAGAAUGAAAACUAUUAUGUGGCAGUAAAAUUCCUAAAAGAACAACAUCUAUGUUACUGUAAAUAUAAUAGCUAACAUUUAACCAGCAGAGGAAAUUAAAGAACAUCCUGUGUUUCAAUAUUCAUCUCCCAUAGAAAUAAUCUCAAUAUGAUUACUCCUAUGAAAAGAAUUUUUUUCCUUUCCAAAAAGUAAAUACAGAUUCAUUUAAAAAUAAUUAAUGAACAAUCUUUAUGCCUUCUCAAUAGUCCUAUCAUCUAAAGUGCUUUAAAUACUUAUUCUUAUAAGACAAUGUAUGGAAACUCUGUUAACAUUGCUCUUUAUCUCUCACUGUAAACUUUAAAUUGAAAUUAUACCUACAGGUCAGAAAGCCACAAGGCCUAGAGAUUAAGGCACACACAUGGAGAUUUUGUUACUUAAUGUGUAUAGUUUUUAUUGUAUUUUCCUAUUGAUGUUUUCAUUUCAUACCUUCAUUUCUAUGAUCUGCAAAAAGUAGUUAUCUGAAUAAGACAUAUUGAAUAGAAAAUCAUCAAACCUUUAAAGUUGGAAGAGACCUCAGAGAUCAUUUAGUAAGUAGACGUCCACUGUUAAAAUAGAAAGAAGUCAUGGAAUGAUCUUUCCUCAUCCAAAGAACCAAAUCAGUGAGUCCUCUAUUUCCAGUGAGAAUUGAUUUUCAUUUUUUAAAAAAGUCAUUGUUGGAGAUGGUACAGAUAAUUCCAACCAGUAAGAAUAACUUAUAGUCCAACAAAACAAGAAACUGUUCUCCCUCUACAAUCAAUGUAACUGAAUCAUGUGGAUGUUACCAAUAUGGAACUGAGCUAAUGUCUUGCCUUGACUAAAGUAUUUCACAGAGAAAACAUGGCUGAGCUUUAAAAAAAAAAAAUCUCUUUUAAACCAUCCCAGUUUAUUCCUCCAAGCUCCUUUUUGUCUAAAAUAAUGAGUCCAUAGUCAGUUUCCUUCCAAAGCCUUGUGAUUUAGUCUGACGGGCUGUGAGACGCCCCAGAUCCGUUUGGACUGCAUUUGUUAUUUUAAUGAGACAAAGGCAAAUCUGGUUUUUUGGCCGCAAACCCUAAGAUACUAACAGGAGGAUGCUCAGUGUUUCCUGAUGGCCACAAGGCAUCUGACAUGAUAGAUUCUUCUUGCCGCCACAGCAGGGCUUUCACAUUUGCCACAUCUACAAAGAUGUUUGGUCUUCUCCGCCCCUCCUCACCUCCAAUGUACCCUCUUCCUUUUGACUUAGGGCAGCACAAAAUUGGAACCUACAAUUACUGCAUAGGAACAAAGUCUCAUUUUGCAAUUCAUACAAACAAGUCAUCCCAAGAAUCCAGUGGCCAUCAAGAGCCUCAUGCCCAAGACUGAAAUUCACUCACCCCAACCAAAGGUCAUUCUCAGCUGGGUGUCAGCACCAGUGGGUUCCACCAGCUCCAGCUUGACAUUGUAUCUGAAAUGACAAUGAGCCUGGCAUAUCUGUGCCCUCCCAGUAAUCACAGUAAUAGUGCUCAGGAGGAUUCACCAAGCUGAACUUCCCCAGUGAUAUGGCGGAGAGUCUGCCUUCUCUAAGAAUACCAGUAAGGGGACAGACAAGUCCUGAUGUGCCUUGCAGCAAAUAGUCCCCCAGCUAAGAUGCUAACAAGAAAUCUUUACUAGCUUAAGAUUUUCUCCCCCUACUUCCAGAUAUACUGAGCAUAAGAACAAAAGAAAAAGACUUAAAACCAUCCACCCAUUUCAUUUCAAAUCACAUCCAGAUAAAUUAUUUGAUUACCUAUCAUUAUGUUUCAUAUAUGCACAAAUCAAUGAGACCCUACCAUUUAUUAAUGAAAGAAUGUAAAAGAAAGACUUAAUGAACAUAUCACUUCCUCAAUGAAAAAUCUUUUUUUUCCUUCCUUGACCUCUUUUAACCUCCCAAACUAGGUAUAACAACAACAGUUACCAAGAAAUUUAUACAAAGAGGUAUUCUUUUGGGAAAAUACUCUCAGCAACUUUUUUCUUUGGUCCAGACAUGGAAUCUCAUUUAUACAGGAAUUCUGGAUGCAGAAAUUCAUGCUAUAGAUACAAAUCAACAACUCAUCUGAAAUUUAGAGUUGUAAAGAGUUACCUAAGACACUGAGACAUUAAGCAACACACGUGUGGUCAUGAAGCCAACAUUUGUCAGAGGCAAGAUUGAACCUAGGUCUUCCUGUCUUCAAGGAAAAUUUUCUAUUCACUGUGCAACACCACUUCUAACUUUCGAUUACACCAGUUUUUUAUUCAUGCAUUUAUUUGAUGGUUAGGGGGGAAAAAGUUGAUGUCCUUAAAAGUUGAUGUCUUUAGGGCCCAGUCUUGCAGAAACAAUCUGAAUUCAAUAUUUAGGCAAACAAGUAGGUAAAUUAAAUAUUUUGUAGCCUAGCCUCUUUGUUAUAUGACUAUAUAUACAAGGGACAUCUAGAUGGCUCAGUGGAUUGAGAGCCAGGCCAAGAGGUGAGAGGUCUGAACCCAGAUUAGGUUUAAAUCUGGCCUCAGACACUUCCUAGUAAUGCAAUCCUGGGCAAGUCACUUAAUGUCUAUUGCUGCCCUUCUGCCUUGGAACCAAUACAAAGUAUUGAUUUUAAGAUAGAAGGUAAGGAUUUUUUUAAAACUACAUACACAUAUAUAUGUAGAUGUUAUAUAUACCAUGCAUAUAUACAAGUAUAUUUAUACAUUAUAUAUACAUAUAGAUCCAAAUUAUCAAGGAAGUCUUUCUUUUAUAUGUAUAUAUUCUUUAAAGUAUAUAUGAUGUUUCUUUAUACACAUACACACACACACAUAUACAUUUUUUCUUUGAGAGAGAGAGAAUGUAUGUUUGUGUGUGUAUGUGUGUUUGUAAUCUUUAAUCAGUAUAGUUGUAGUGGAGGAAAAAACUGGCCUCAAAGCCAGAAAGGCAUAAACUCAAGUCCCAUUCCUGAUACAUGCUGUCUGUAUGAUCCUGGGCAACACAUUUAAUUUCUUAGGGCUCUAAGUAAUUUUCUAAGGCUAUAAAUAACAGAGAUGGAGCCAAACUCCUAACACCAAUUUAUCACAGAUCAGGUUCUGAGCCCUGUGCUCUCAAGUACCACCAAGAUUUUUAAAAUCCUUCAGGUUUGAUUUUUUUUCUUUUUUCUAGCAGUUCAGCUCUUCUCUUAAAUGGUCAUUGCAAUAAGCAUGAUCUCCCCUUAUAAAUAAAUCAGAACCAUUCAUUAAGCAACUCCUAUGUCCCAGGCACUCUACUAAGAACUGGAAAUACAAAGACAAAAGUGGAAACAAACCCUGAUUUCAAGUAGUUUUUAGUCUGAGAGAGACAACAUUAACUUGUAUACAAAACAGAUACAAAAUAAAUUUGUGGGGUGGAGGUUGAACUGGAAUGGAAUGGCAUCAGGAAAAGCCUUUGUCUCUCCAUUGCCAUUUCCAACCUCUAAGGAUCAAGGAGAAUAAUUUUUUUUAAUGUUAAAAUGAAUACUCACUCAGAGUUCUCAUAUAUUCCUACCCACUCUACCAUGAAACACAUACAUGAAGGUUCUUGUUUCAUUUAACUCCAAUGCCUGAAAAGCUGGGGGUAAGGAGGUUCAUUUUUGUUCUUGCUAUCCAGCGCUCCUUCUUUGUGUCUUAUAGCACAACAGAAAAGGCCUUCAUCUUAAGAACCUAUUGACUGGUUCAUCAAUCUGGGGAUUAAAUAUCAUCAUCAAGAAACCAGUUAAUAAAGAAGACAAGAAAAAAGCAGCAAGUCAGCACAUAGAUUGUGUGUGUACAAAAAAAAAUGGAAAGGAGGAGGAGUGAAAUUAUAUGUUGGAUAAUGGUGGCUAUAAUUACAGAAUCAUAGGUCUGAAAGCUCAAAGGGGUCUCAAAAGAUCAUUAGAUCUAAUUCCUUAUUUUCAAGAAAGUAAAGUAUUUAUUCUAUUUUACAGAUGAGGCAACUGAACUUGAUGAAAGUGUAGCAUUACUAAAUUUUGGAUAUACCAUAGAUACCACAAUGAGAUGGACAGUAGAAAUUUUUUUUGCUCAUGAUACCUGAAUGGGACAAGGGGAAGAAAAUCAAGAAUUAUUUGCUAUUUCCUACCUCAUAUUUUUUUCUUUUAGAAGGAAAGACCCACCUGUAUCAUGCCAUUCUCUAUUUAUCCUGGUAAGCUGGAAUUCUGAUACCUUGCUGGCUAAAAAUACCACAAUGGAAAGCACCAUUGUAAUGACAUGAUGACCCCUGACUUUUCCAGGGAUUUCAAAGGCAAAAGUCCAAGGUGAUGAAAUAUAGGGCAGAGAAAGUCAACUUGGAGUCAGGGUAAUAUCCCCAUUUUCUGUGAUUCUUCUUGUAACCAAGGGUAUCAGUUAAAUAAAGCAAGCUUGAAAAAUGGUUAGAAGAAUCAUUAAUAUUAAUGAAAAGGAGAGGUCCAUCUUUUUUCCCCAAAAAUACUUGUUUAUAUUAAGGCUAAAAUCACUAAUGAGGAAGAAAAACAACAGAUUACAGGCAUAAUACUGAACAUGACUUCCUAAAAUACUUUGCACUCUGUGCAUGCAUUGGGCUGUUCUAGUAAGAAAGUCAUAACACAGUAUGUUAUUUGUCCUACUGCUCUGGUAUGUAUUGUAGCCUCCAUAAAUAGACAUUAAGAGAACUGGGGGCUGUCAUCAUGUAUAAAAGCUACUUAUACAUUGCAACAACUGUUGUUAGGCAUUUAUAUUGGGCAGGACCAUUUGAAAAACACAGUUCCACCAACAAAGAACUUGCAAAAUCACAGGAUGUGUCUAUUUUCAGGCAGGUACAUCCCCUCAUUUUAAGCAAGAUAAUGGUUCUGGAUUUGAUCCUGAAAACCAGGCAGGCUUAGCAGGGCUCAGUCCACAGAGUAAGUUUAAGACCCUGUUCCUUCUCAGUAUCUAUCACCCAUUUCUGAUUUCACUCCCCAAGAAGUCACAGUAUCACUUUGUAUCACUAGUGAGUCCCUGGGUUUAACCAGGAGCAGUGACUGCCUUCAUCUCAUUUUACAAGGGCACAAGGCAAAAUAAAAUGAAUUCCAUCAGGAGCAUGUGUCUUCUAGAAAAAAAAGCAGGGAUAGGUUAAGAGGAAAGCAAAUGAAAGGUAAGAUUAAUAGCAUUUACGAUGGCAGAUAGACUAGCAGUUUGCUAAUUAAAGAUGUUAGAACACAGAAGCAGCCAAGGAUCAGUGGCUUUUAAUGAGGAUGUUGUAGGGGUGAUUUUGCUCCAAUUUUCUGCUUAAUAAGGCUGGUUUAAAAAGUAAUUUUGUUGGGAUGUGACUCCCCUAAACCUGUUCAUUAUCAGUGAUGGGACUUCUCGUCGACACUUCGGGAAAUGUUGUGCUUAAUUAAUAUUGUGUCAGCGAGUGGCUAUGCUGACAGAUGAGGGGAAAAAAAUUGAUGAAGAACUUUCAAGGACACUGACUUCAUUAAGCCGCUUCAUUAUCAGCUGCAUAACUGACUAAAUAUGUCAUUUACAAGAUAAUACUAGACUUUCAAUGGAUUUCCCCCUCUUUUUUUUCUUUCUCUAAUAUAGGUGAACAUAUAAUGGUUCCCAAAUUUUUUUUUCAAGAGAGAAAAGCAAGGUCAGCAGCCUGACCAGAUGUUCUGUCUUGUCUUGCCAUCACUAAUGAUAAUAAUUUACAAUUUUAUUGUGUUUUAUGAUUUACAAAAUAUCUCCUAUACAACAAUUCUAGAACAUUGGUAGUGGAGUUAUGAUCCCCACCCAAUGAAGGAAGAAACUGAGACUUGGAAAAAUAAAAUGACUUGCCCAAGAUCACACAGUUAUUAAGUGUCAGAGCUAGAACUGAAUUUUUAGAUUCUGUGUCCCAGCCUCUCCAUUUCAUGAGGCUUUCUUUCAGUAAGAACAGAAGGUCUUCAAAACAACACAGUAUCGGUCACUGAGCCGGUCACAUGAAGGGGAUUUCUGUGCUCUUCCUGUGAGCUAAAUCAGCCAAUGGUGAUUGGUUAUAUCAUCUCACACCUCUAUGUCUCUAAGCAGGACAAAUUUUGGCUUUAUGAGGAAAGGACUUUGGAGACCUCUAGAUAUUUGAAAGGUUAGUCCAUUCUUUGGUCCAGUCUCCUUAUAACCAGAUGGUUUUUGUUACAUCAACUGCCUACUAUAAGACCUUGGAAAAGUCAACUUAACUCUCUUUGCCUGCAUUUCUCAAUCAAUAAAUAUAUAACCAAUGCCAUCACCACCACCAAUCCUAUUCCAGUCUUCAUGAAAGUUGGGAGGGUUAGAGUAUUCUCUAGAGGCAGGUAUGAAAGAAUUUAAUUAAUGCAACCUGUGCCCAUGUCUGGAGGGCAAUCUCAAGGAGAAAUUAUUCUUAAGAGGGGAAAUAACUAUUUCCUAUUUAAAAAUUAGACUGGAUAAAUGAUAUCUGCUUAACAGCCAUCUGAUUAAUUGAGAAGUAAAUGGAACUGAGAAACAGAGAUGUGGGUUAUAACUCAAUUUCUGCUACUAACUCACAGUGAGUGAACUUGUACAAGUCACAUGACUUCUUCUCUGGACCUUGGUGGAAUCAUCUAUAAAAUGAUGGCUUCAGUCUGGGUAAAUAGUAAGGCUCCAUUCACUUUUAAUAAUCUAUGCUACUUUAUGGCAGAAAAUAAACAGUUGGCAGAUCAUGGUCCUAGUCCUGGAUCUGUCAUUAAACGUCUUAUGUGAUCUUGAACAAACUUCUACGAUUUGCUAAGCUUUGGUUUUCUCAUCUAUAAAAAAGAAGAAUUGAACCAGAUGCCUCACUGCAGUUUGGUAGCUGAUGGGUUAUUUUGUAUGAAUUCUGUAAAUGAUAGACAUUACAGAUUGCUGCCCUGAGUUCAAUUAUUAAAAACCUUCUAUGUCCUAUGUCCUCUAGAAUAUAAAAGAAGCCUUCAAAUGAGCUUGUGCUUCACAUGUCAUCAAAACACAGGUGACGCAGUGACUGUUAAAGUAAUAAAUUAUCAUAUUAUCUA